GAGAUGAAUGGAAAGGAGCUCAAUGGAAAACAAAUUUACGUUGGUCGAGCUCAGAAAAAAGUGGAACGGCAGACGGAACUUAAGCGCAAAUUUGAACAGAUGAAGCAAGAUAGGAUCACCAGAUACCAGGGUGUUAACCUUUAUGUGAAAAAUCUUGAUAAUGGUAUUGAUGAUGAACGUCUCCGGAAAGAGUUUUCUCCUUUUGGUACAAUCACUGGUGCAAAGGUUAUGAUGGAGGGUGGUCGCAGCAAAGGGUUUGGUUUUGUAUGUUUCUCCUCCCCAGAAGAAGCCACAAAAGCAGUUACAGAAAUGAAUGGUAGAAUUGUGGCCACCAAGCCAUUGUAUGUAGCUUUAGCUCAGCGCAAAGAAGAGCGCCAGGCUCACCUCACUAACCAGUAUAUGCAGAGAAUGGCAAGGGUAAGAGCUGUGCCCAGUCCUGUAAUCAACCCCUACCAGCCAGCACCUCUUUCAGAUUACUUCAUGGCAGCUAUCCGACAGACUCAGAACCGUGCUGCAUGCUAUCCUCCUAGCCAAAUUGCUCAACUAAGACCAAGUCCUCGCUGGACUGCUCAGGGUGCCAGACCUCACCCAUUCCAAAAUAUGCCCAGUGCUAUCCGCCCAGCCGCUCCUAGACCACCAUUUAGUACCAUGAGACCAGCUUCUUCACAGGUUUCAUGAGUCAUGUCGACACAGCGUGUUGCUAACACAUCAACACAGACGCUGGGGCCACGUCCUGCGGCGGCACCUGCUGUCCGCACCGUUCCACAGAAUAAGUACGCUGCGGGGGUUCGCAAUCCUCAACAGCAUCUUAAUGCGCAGCCACGAGUUACCGUGCAGCAGCCUGCUGUUCAUGUACAAGGUCAGGAGCCUUUGACUGCUUUCACGUUGGCAUCUGCCCCUCCUCAAGAGCAAAAGCAAAUGUUGGGUGAACGGCUCUUUCCUCUAAUUCAAGCCAUGCACCCUACUCUUGCUGGUAAAAUCACUGGCAUGUUGUUGGAGAAUGGUAAUUCAGAACUUCUUCAUAUGUUUGAGUCUCCAGAGUCUCUCCGUUCUCAAGUUGAUGAAGCUGUAGCUGUACUACAAGCCCACCGAGCUAAAGAGGCUGCCCAGAAAGCAGCUAACAGUGCCACUGGUAUUCCAACUGUUUAA